rnacentral:rRNA from 1 species
UUUAUGGAGAGUUUGAUCCUGGCUCAGGAUGAACGCUGGCGGCGUGCCUAAUACAUGCAAGUCGAGCGAACAGACGAGGAGCUUGCUCCUCUGACGUUAGCGGCGGACGGGUGAGUAACACGUGGAUAACCUACCUAUAAGACUGGGAUAACUUCGGGAAACCGGAGCUAAUACCGGAUAAUAUAUUGAACCGCAUGGUUCAAUAGUGAAAGACGGUUUUGCUGUCACUUAUAGAUGGAUCCGCGCCGCAUUAGCUAGUUGGUAAGGUAACGGUUUACCAAGGCAACGAUGCGUAGCCGACCUGAGAGGGUGAUCGGCCACACUGGAACUGAGACACGGUCCAGACUCCUACGGGAGGCAGCAGUAGGGAAUCUUCCGCAAUGGGCGAAAGCCUGACGGAGCAACGCCGCGUGAGUGAUGAAGGUCUUCGGAUCGUAAAACUCUGUUAUUAGGGAAGAACAAAUGUGUAAGUAACUAUGCACGUCUUGACGGUACCUAAUCAGAAAGCCACGGCUAACUACGUGCCAGCAGCCGCGGUAAUACGUAGGUGGCAAGCGUUAUCCGGAAUUAUUGGGCGUAAAGCGCGCGUAGGCGGUUUUUUAAG